UCUAGAAUCUAUAAUACAACUAGCAGUUCUUGAACAUGAACAAACAUUCAAUGGCAUGCCAGAAAUAAAGAUUGAUAAGAUAAUCAAAUCCAGCCUGAGAAAGAAAUGAAAAAUAAAUGAAACAAGUAUAAUUUGAAUAGCACAAAUGAUCAGAAUAGGCAGAGCAGCAAAAACAAAAGCCAUUCCAAGUAAUUUUAGGCCCAAAUUAAUUAUCAACAAAUGAUAAAAUCAUCAAUGCAUAAAAACUUAUAAAAUAUAGAACUUGACUGAUGCACUUUAACAAAUUGUUUAAACUUAAACCAGAUAAGUGUAAAAUCAUCAAUGCGUAAAAACUUAUAAAAUAUAGAACUUGACUGAUGCAUUUUAACAAAUUGUUUAAACUUAAACCAGAUAAGUGUAAUAUCAAUGUUAGUCAAGCAAACUGAGUAUGGUAUAAAGAAGCAACAUUCAAUAAAGGUAAUAUCUCAACAAACGAAACGUGUACAAUAAACUAUAUACACUACUUCUAUGAGGCCUACACCAAAACAGAGUAAUCUCAUAAGCACAACCACGAUAUUCAUAGCAAUUAAUGGAACAAUUAUGAAGCAGUGAUAAGCAAAAACAUAUAAUUUAAGAAGCCAAACAUGCAAAGCCAUUACACAAUUAUCAUCAUUCAGGAAACAUUCAAAACCAAAACGAACUUGAUAUACCUUAGAAAUGGGCUUCCUCUUCUUGUCAAGCUUCUCCUUCUUAGCCUUAACACGUUGUGCCUCGGCUAAAAGAGACAUCCUCCUAGCAGUCUUCGCAUAUGGGUUCAACUUCAGCAUAGCAUUCAAGUUCUUGAGUGGGUUCUUCUUCAAAGGUGCCCUCUUGAUCUCCUUCUUAAUGGGCUUCACAACCGACUGCACCUCAUCAGAGUUGAUAAUCCUACCCAGAUCAGCAUUCACCAUCUUAGAUCGAGGCAGUACGUACCCUUUCUUCUUCUCAGAAGGCUUAUCAAAUGACCCGUAAAUCGUAUCCAGCUUCUCGUAAGCCGAUUUGGUCCAAAUAAUGAACCUUCCAAGGUGACCACCAGGUGCCAGUUUCAACAGAUUAAGCCUCUCCACGUUGGCAACCUCCACUCCAGGAAUGUUACGGAAGGCUUUAACAAGCUUAGCUCCCUCAGUUCCGUAAACAAUCAAAGGACCUUUACGGGAAAUGUACCUCCGAUUCCUCAUUUUUCCUUUUCCGGGUCGGAUUUCUUGGCUGUCCUUAGCCUUUUCAACAUCAGGAUAUG
rnacentral:lncRNA from 1 species